GAUGAAGAACGCAGCGAAAUGCGAUAAGUAAUGUGAAUUGCAGAAUUCAGUGAAUCAUCGAAUCUUUGAACGCACAUUGCGCCCGCCAGUAUUCUGGCGGGCAUGCCUGUUCGAGCGUCAUUACAACCCUCAGGCCCCCGGGCCUGGCGUUGGGGAUCGGCAGAAGCCCCCUGUGUGCACACGCCGUCCCUCAAAUACAGUGGCGGUCCCGCCGCAGCUUCCAUUGCGUAGUAGCUAACACCUCGCAACUGGAGAGCGGCGCGGCCAUGCCGUAAAACACCCAACUUCUGAAUGUUGACCUCGAAUCAGGUAGGAAUACCCGCUGAACUUAAGCAUAUCAAUAAGCGGAGGA
rnacentral:misc_RNA from 1 species